rnacentral:lncRNA from 1 species
UCUUUAAAAACACCAAUCUCCCUUCCCCUUCACCCUAGAACACAUCAGACCCUUCCCCCUGAGCAAAAAAAACCUAGAGCUAAAAAGAAGAAAAGCUGCGCAGCAACAUUGCCAAAAAAACGCAGCAGCAGCUGCCCAUCGUAUUCCUAAAAAACAACCUUAAAAUAGCAUCAUCUUCUUACUCAAUAACCAUGAAAACCAGCUAAAACUUCAACCAUUAAAACACCCCAAAAUCAGCACCUAAAACUCGACAAAACACAUCCAUUUUUACCUCAAGCUCACCUCAAAAUGCAACAGAAAUCCAAGCUGAAAAGGAGCAGAAAAACAAUUUUUUAAACCUCCAAAAUCUAGCCAGGAACUCCAGCAAAGCUUCAGCUCGAAAUCUUUCUCAAAGUAGCUCAAAAAACGAGUUGAAGAUGACCCAAAAUCCAGCAACAACGAGCUGAAAAACAGCCUGUUUCCCAGCGAAAAUUAGCUGCAAAAUCAGCUACAAAACAGCCUCCCAAAACAGGCCCAAACCAACUCCAAAAAUGCCCAAAUAUUGUCCCCAAAAAUCAGAUCUAGGACACCCUAAAGUCCCACUCCGUUUCACCAUAAAAUCACAAUAAUUUCCAUCCUCACUCACUGCCGAUUCUCUCUUGAGUUGAGAGAGUCCAAUUAGGCCGUCGAGGUUCGAGUCUUGUCCGCCGAGGUCUGCGUUCAUCGAGUUCCUAUCUCGGUCUUGUUUGCUUUGGGAUUUACCUGUUGUAAAACUCAAAAGCUGAAAUUCAAUACAAAGGUCCAGUUCUGUUAACUCUUUGUCAAUUCUAUUUUUUUUUUUAAAAAACCUUGAUAUGGAUCAUUUAGUGAUGAUUCUAUUGGAUGUUUAAACAUUUGAUGAAUCUAUCUCAUAACAUGCUUAAGUGAUUUUCGCUUAAAUGUUAAAAUUGAAAAUAGAUUCUUAGUAAUUGUUAAAUAUAGUGUCGUGUGUGAGCUUUUGAAGGUUUGUUAUGAAUCCUUAUUUUCUUACUUGAUCCAAUCUUAUGGAAUUUGCCAUUCAUUACCGUUUAGGUCUUAGUUAAUUAAUAUUGAGUUUGAUGAGCUAUAAUUUCGUGGGCAAAGAUCUGAAGUUGCAAGGCUAGUGUUUUGUUUGGGUUGGUUUUGAAGUUUAUCUAGCUUUUGGGCAUGUUCAGUUAAACACUUUUGUUUAUUUGAGUUGACCUAAUACCUAGUAAUUCCAAAUAGGCCGAGCCCAUUCAAAUUUGGUGUUAAUUCCGCCUCAUUAUCUAUCCACACCUAAUUCAUAAUUUAGUGUUAGUUAGAAUAAGUUCAAAGAUUGAGUUGUAAGUAAUUCAAAGCAAUUUGUUAAUGAUUCUCGCAGCUAAAUCAAACAUCUUUUUUCACAAAUUAUUACCCAUAAACCCUCGACCUUACAAUAAUCUCAAAUUAACUUAGAAAGAAAUAUUUAUGAACAUCGUAGCUUGCUUUAGGCGCGAUUAAUUUUAAAUCAUCGUGGUUAUGGGUACAGUUCCCGUGGCAUGGUCACGAUACGUAAAUCCCAAUUCGGGUGUGCAUUUCAUGUGACCCGACCAUAACUUCAAACAAUAAUAAAAUAAACAUGUUGUGAAUCACGGGUGCAUUUCAUGUGGAGCGGUUUGCAAUGUGUACCAAACCGACAAGUGUACGACAUCGUGACUUGUUCCAAAAAUAUUUCCAUAAAUAAAUAAAAGCAGUUAUAAAGUUAAAAAUGCACAACAAGUUUAAAACACGUAAUUAAUUAGAUAAUUAGGCCAAUUAUCAAUAGUUGAGCGACCGUGCUAAAACCAUGAAACUCGAGAGUACCUCACACCCUCUCCUGGGUUAACAGAAUUCCUUACCCGAUCUUCUGUGUUCGCGGACAAAAAAUAGAGUCAAAACUUCCUCGAUUUGGGAUUUAAAAUAAAUCGGUGACUUGAGACACCAUAAAUAUCAUAAGUGGUGACUCUGAAUAAAUUAAAUAUUCCCAUUUCGAUUAAUAUCACUUAAAUUGGAAAUACUCCCUAUAUCCCCCUCGGGUAAAAAGGAGGUGUGACAGCUCUGGCGACUUUGCUUUGGAACAGAACCCAGAACUUCUGGUUCAGGAUUCAGAAUUCGAGCUUAGAAUAACUGUUAUAGUUAGCUUUUGCUUAUUAUUUGAUUUUUAUGUGUUUGAGCCUAAUGUGCUAAAUGCCGCUUUUUACCGCUUUGAUAUUGUUUGAACUGUAUAUAAACUGUUACGAAACCCUUCCUCUCUCCGAGUCUUCUAAAUCUUCUAGGAAGUUCACACUGGCGUGACUUCUUUUCUGUUAGUGUCAUAUCCUUAAUUUAGAACGAGGUUCGGACAAGUUGUAAGGUCGGAUGAUCUUUUGGUUACCGGUACGCUGCCCCCCGGCUCGAGUUGUCCGCUCGGGUAAUCCAGGUCUAGAACAAUACACCCAGGAUUUAGACCUAGAAUAACCAUAACCUCAUACCGGAUCCCUAGUAGGAACGUUUGUUUGAAUCACAUGUAUUUUACUUUGGAAACUCAACACAUGAGUUGGGUCCGUCUAGGACAGGUGCACCCAAAUUAAAAAACUAUCCUGAUGCAUCUUACGUGCUACUUGUGCAUUUGUUUGUUUCAGCUUGCAUGUUGACCGGCUUCUAGAAUAGGAAACGAAAAUAAAAAAAAAGAAAAAAAGAAAGAAAUUCAGAAAAAGAAAAACCAAGAGUGAGAGGUAGGUAUUUGACAAUUCCUAAACUUUGCCAAAAUUCUAAAGAAAAGAAAAAGGAGAAAAGACAGUCAUUUCAAAAUGAGCCUAAAAUCUCAAGUGCCAUGUUUUCUCAUCGGAUGUGAGAUACGUAGGCAAACCUCGUCGGUUCCGAACCCAAUUUUCAAAAAUCCAAAAAUAUUUUUCUUUAAUUCCUUCUUUAGAAAUCUUUUCUUAGAAAAUUCAAAAAAAAUAUAUUUUUAAACUCAAAAAAUAGUUUCCUUCUUUCUGAAGUUUUUCAUACGAAAAAAACAUAAAAAGAAAAAUCAAAAUCCAAAAUACAGGUUUUCUUUAUUUUGAAGUAUUUUUCCAUAAAAUUCAAAAAAAUCAGAAAAAAAAGAAUCAAAAAAAAUUCUUUUCCUUGUUUAAAAGUAUUUCUUUUGUAAAUGUCAUUAAAAAAAAUUAAAAAAUUGAUGUCAAAAAAAGAUUUUUAGUUUUCUUUAGAAGUACUUUUGUAAAUUUACAAAAAAAAAAAACUCAGAAAUUCAAAAUAUUUUUCUUAAAAGUUUCUCUUUCGGAAAUUGAGAGGCAACAUCCAAAAGCCAAAAAUAUUUUCUUUCUUCUUUAGAAAAAGAGAAAACAAAUAAAAAAAAAUAUUUUCGUUUUACUUUUGAAAUUCCCAAAGUUCAAAUCAAAAGAAAAGGAAUUUUUACAAGUCUUUCUUUAAAAAAAACCAACAUGAAAAAUCCAAAAAAUAUUUCCUUUCUUCUUUUAAAGCACUUUUUUCGGGAAAAAAUGAAACAAAACAAAAAAAAUGAAAAAAAAUAUGUUUUUCUUUUUGUUAAAGCUUUCAUGGUCUGAGUUUUAUAAAAAAAAAGAGUUAGCUUAUUUACACACAUUCUCGAUCUUCCCAAACUACGCAAGAUCUGAUUCAUACGGCGUCAUGAUACGUAGGCAAUCCCUAUCGGAUUCGAUCAUAGCCAUAAAAUUAAUUGAGUGAAAAAUAAACUGAAAAAAAGAGAAAGAAAAAUUGAGUAAAAAGAGUGACAAAAACAAGAAAAAGAAAAAGAAAAGAGAGUACCAAAAAAAUAAAAGAGCGACGGAAACGAAAUGAAAAAAAAUCAAGAGUGAUUAAAGAGGCAGAAAAAAAAGAAAAGAGGUACAUACUGAAAGGUUUAGUUAAGGCUGGGAUGAAACAUGCAACCGUUCAAACACACGGUAGAAGCGUUUAACUGUUAGGUGCAUUGCAUCCCAACGUGCGAUUUCCUAUAUGUUAAAUGUCUCAAAACUAAGAAAGUUGUGGUGUGAGCAAAUUAGCGAGGUUCUGUUCAGGUGGUUGGUUUUGUUGGUAUGCGGUGAUGAACGCGCAACCUUGCACGCGACCACAACAUUAUACACAAAAUCGAGCUACACCUCCCAGAAAUGCCCCUCCUUACCAAGCUCCAUAUAAUCCCCAAUCAAAUGUUCCCCAGUACAAUCCUCGCCCAAGAGAGCCUUUCAAAAGGAAUCAGUUCACCCCUAUUGGUGAAUCAUACUCGGACUUGUUCCAAAAGCUAGUCGGGUGAGGUCUGCUGCAGCCAGUGGCCCAAACCGGCCAAACCCCGAGUCCCCCUCCCACCGAGCUGAUGCUAGAUGUGAAUACCAUUCUGGAGCAGUGGGACACAGUACAGAGGACUGUUGGACCCUCAAAAGGGCAAUUAAAGAUUUGAUCGAAGCUGAAAGAAUCAUUCUUUGGGAUAAAGAGGCUCCUGAUAUGACGAACAAUCCGUUGCUUGCUUACAAUGACGAAUUUGAUCCGGCACUGAAGACCAUUGCAUCCAUUACCGAGACAGAAGAAAAGCCAAAAACGGUCGCCAGCCUGAAAGUUCCCUAUCAGACGGGAAUCUCGGUAGCCAAUCUUGCUAUCCUUUCUGCAUCCGGAUUACCUCAGGGUGUGAUCAGGAUGUUUUACUUUAUUGUCUUCCUUUCCGAUGUUAACCCUUCUAUCUUUUAAAAUUAAAAACAAAUCAUCAAAAUCAAAAAAAUAAUCAAGUAAAAUUAAUAUUUCACUGUCGAAGAAUGUUUUUUUUCUUAAUCUUGUCACUUUCUUAUUCUCUUUUCAGUUAUGUUAAAUGCAGACUUCAAUAACAUGACAUGCUUGCAGACUUCAUGCUCAAAUCCGGAAAGCUGUCAGACCUCGAAAUAAUGAAUCAAGAAUUAGAUCGCAAUGAAGAUAAGUGUAAGGAAAUAAAACAAAGAGUUGGAACAACUGAAGAAAAAUUGGUUCCAGAAUUGGAAAGGUCCAUACAUUGCAACAAAGAGUACUGCCAAAAGAGUGCAUUGUACUUGGGACACAUCGAAGGAAAUGUCCCUGAAACAACUGUCAAUGCAAAUGCAGUCAAAAUGUACUAUGUUGGAUAAUCUAUAUAGCAUUAAUGUUUUCCGAUUAGGAUGAAGAAGGCUUUCUUUCUCACUAUCCAAAUAUUCAACCCUUUGCAAACCCUUUGAGCUGACUCGUAUUCUUUGAUUACCCACUUUGGAACCUGGAAGUUAUUAUUAAAAAAAUAAUGAAUGAAAAAUAAAAAAAAAUGAAAAGAGAAGAAAAGAAAAAAACAAAAAAGGAAGAAAAGGGCAAAAGAAAAAGAAAUGAAAAAAGAGAAGAAAAGUAAGAUACAAAAAAGGGAAGAAACGACAAAUAAAAUGAAAUGAAAAAUGAAAAAAAAAGAGGAAAAGGAAAGGAAAAAGAAAGGGAAAACAAAAAAAAAUAGAAAAAUAAAAGAAAAUCAAAAAGAAAGUUUCCCGAACUACGUUCGACUUGAUUCCGAAAGGAUACGUAGGCAGCCGCUCUCUGGGAUUUAGUCACACCAAAAUAAAAAUCCAAAUUUUUCCAAAGUUGAAACUGGGGCUGAAGAUGGUUCGACAAUUGUUUCACUCGAAAGGAUCUAAAGUUGUAACUCAAUCCAAAUCCUUUUUUACCCAAAACCCUGUUCAAGUCCUUCUGAUCAAUCCAUAAAGAGGUUCAAAUUGGAAGAUACAAUUACUUGGAUCUGAUACGCCAAAAUAAGAGAAAUGAAAUGAGAGUCUUGUUAGUGAAAACUCACAAAGAGCAAUAUAAAGCGACGGUGAGAAGAGUAUGUGAGAGGUAAGCUGGUGAAACCCCGCAAAGGGCGCCACUGAUCGAAAAAAAGAUCCUCGCAGCCAUUGGCAUCGGCACAGUCCUGGGCAAGGUUUCUCGGUUUGAAAGCAAAAGUUGUGAUGAAUUUCUGAGGGUCGAACGGUUUACACGGGUCAGGCAUCCAGUCCAAAAGUCAUAUCAUGUUCAUUGAAGUCCGCAUGUACUCUAGAUAAGUCAUUCUUUCCUUUCCCCGAAAGGGACACAUCUUGUUUAAACCCAUUCUCCAUUUCAUUGUUUAUUUCCUUUGAAUCCCUUUCGAUCUAACUCUCCGAAAUUAAGACAAAGAAAGGAUGGUAAGACUGAUUUACAGGGUUCCCCUUUGAUACAAGCUAAUACACAAAAAGGCACCCAUCAUCGGCAAAGGCAUCAAGUUGACUUUGACCGGCCAUGGUGGCUGAUGUUUUGAAAUUGAAAACUCUUGGAAGGAGAAAAUCAAAUUAAAGUGCCUAUAAAGGCAAAUAAAGUUAAAAAGGUUGAGUCCCAUGUGGCUAACUGUCUCGGCAAAGGUUUAAAAAGCCAAGGUACCCCAAAUGCUCUGAAAUUGAAGUUAGAAGAAAGAAGCCAGAAAUGAAAGGCCUAUAAAGGCGAAAUAAAGUUGGAAAAGGUUAAGUCCCACGCGACUAGCCAUUGCGACAAAGUUUAAGGAGCCAAAAGUUCCCCAAUGCUCCGAAGUUAUUAAAAAAAAGAAAAAAAGGAAGUCAGAAGGGAAAGGCCGACGAAGGCAAAAUAAAAUCGAAAAGGUUGAGUUCCACCAACCAACCGUCAUGGUAAAGUCUAGAAAAACCAGAGGUUCUCCGGGGCCUUAAAUGAAAUCGGUCCUCAGGGAACAAGUAGCUGCAGUUGAGAUCUUCAUCAAAGAUGUCGGUUCGAGAUCAAGUGAUUGAAACACUCAAGGACACAAAAUCAACCGCUGUUUCAAACUUACAAAUUAUUUUUUAUUUGAAAAAAAAAACAGGAAACAUGUGCAAUCCAAAAGCAACCUUGCAAGAAGCAGGUGCAACAAAAAGAAACUGCGCAGAGACUAAAAUGGAUCUACAACAAUAAUAAGUCCAAAAUUAAAGUCUUCUCUAAAUUCUUUCCCGCAUUUUACUCACUCUCUUAAAUAAAAUUAAAAAAAAUGAUGAAAUGAAAUGAAAAGAAAGAAAAGAAGAAAAGUUCAAAGUCAUGGUAGUAUAGAGUCUCCAAUUCCUAGCUGCAUUUUUUCGUACAUAGGAUCUCCAAUCCCUUGUUAAUUUUAUUCUAGAUAUAGGGUCUCCACUCCCUAGUCACUUUUUCAACAUAAGGUCUCCACACCAUAGUUGAUGCCAGCAUAACCCGAUGCCAACAUAAGGUCACCACUUCCUAGUUGAUGCUAACAUAGGGUCUCCAUUCCCUACUUAACGCCAGCAUAAACUGAUGCCAAUGUAGGGUCCCACUCUCUAGUUAAUGCCGACAUAACCGAUGACUUUUCCAACAUAGGGUCCCACUCCCUAGUUGAUGCCGACAUAACCCGAUGACUUUUCCAAUAUAGGGUCCCACUCCCUAGUUGAUGCCGGCAUAACCCAAUGACUUUUCCAAAAUAGGGUCCCACUCCCUAGUUGAUGCUGGCAUAACCCGAUGAAUUUUCCAAUAUAGGGUCCCACUCCCUAGUUGAUGCCGGCAUAACCCAAUGAUUUUUCAACAUAGGGUCCCACUCCCUAGUUCAUGCCAAUAUAACCUAGUGAUUUUUCCAACCUAGGGUCUCCAAACCCUAGUGGAUUUCGUUUUAUAUAUAGGGUCUCCACUCCCUAAUCUCUUUUUCCCAAGGAUACACAAUCCUAAUCUUUAUUGCUUUCAAUAAUGAUGUAGCAUAGAGUUUUGGUUACAAAUAACUCACGAAAUUUUCCUAGUGAAAACUGGGGCAGAAAAAUUUCGUUCAUUUGUUUGUUUUGGUGUCUGAGCAGGUUUUACCUUGAGGCACAGGGUUCGAGAUGACCAAACAAAAGAGUCUCAAUCCAGAAUAAAAGAGAAAAGAAGAAAAAGAAAAAGAAGUGAACUCAAAGUGCAGAAGCGAAGAAAUGAUAUGAACUACUCAAGACGUGAUUGAAGUCACAAGCUUUGCAUGUCUCGCCUUGAUCCGAGAAGUUGAAAAAGAAAUGAACCAGCACCUGCAACUAAUAAGCAUCAAGAUUCAGAUCAGAGUCCGCAUGAAGAACCAACCAAGACUCAAGAUCAAGCAUCAGAAGACUCAUAGAUAGGAAUCUUAUAACUUGUAGUUGAUAGGCUUAGUUAGUUUUUUUAAUUUUAAUUUUGAUAUAAUAAUAGGACCAUAGACCGAAGCCUCGACGGAACCUCGCUAGACUCUCGAACUUAUCAUUCCAUCAUUCUCCCAGAACUACACUGACCUGAUUCCUUUAGAGCUAGGGAUAUGUAGGCAACUUUGAAGCAAGGUUCGAUCAAACUUUUUCAAAGCGCUUCCCAUAGAGUAUCCAAACGGGCAAAAAAUGCUCGUAAUUGCUCACUUUAUCUUUGCCCGAAAACUUUUCAUGUUCUCGAACAAAGAGGGGCAGCUGUGAGCACCUAAUUUUUGCCCCACAUGAAAAUUUCUCCUAAAAAUUAAUCAAAAAAGAAUUUUUAGUAAAUAAAUAGCAUGG